rnacentral:rRNA from 1 species
AGAGUUUGAUCCUGGCUCAGAGCGAACGCUGGCGGCAGGCUUAACACAUGCAAGUCGAGCGGGCAUCGCAAGAUGUCAGCGGCAGACGGGAGAGUAACACGUGGGAACAUGCCCUUCGGUUCGGAAUAACUCAGGGAAACUUGAGCUAAUACCGGAUACGUCCGUAAGGAGAAAGAUUUAUCGCCGAAGGAUUGGCCCGCGUCCGAUUAGCUAGUUGGUGAGGUAACGGCUCACCAAGGCGACGAUCGGUAGCUGGUCUGAGAGGAUGAUCAGCCUCACUGGGACUGAGACACGGCCCAGACUCCUACGGGAGGCAGCAGUGGGGAAUAUUGGACAAUGGGCGCAAGCCUGAUCCAGCCAUGCCGCGUGGGUGAUGAAGGCCCUAGGGUUGUAAAGCCCUUUCGGCGGGGAAGAUAAUGA